AUAACUACUGGAAACGGUAGCUAAUACCGCAUAACGUCGCAAGACCAAAGAGGGGGGACCUUCGGGCCUCUUGCCAUCGGAUGUGCCCAGAUGGGAUUAGCUAGUAGGUGGGGUAACGGCUCACCUAGGUGACGAUCCCUAGCUGGUCUGAGAGGAUGACCAGCCACACUGGAACUGAGACACGGCCCAGACUCCUACGGGAGGCAGCAUG
rnacentral:rRNA from 1 species